UACGUAGGUGGCAAGCGUUGUCCGGAUUUAUUGGGUUUAAAGGGUGCGUAGGCGGCUUUGUAAGUCAGUGGUGAAAUAUGGCAGCUCAACUGUCAGGGUGCCAUUGAUACUGCGGAGCUUGAGUACAGAUGAGGUAGGCGGAAUUGACGGUGUAGCGGUGAAAUGCUUAGAUAUCGUCAAGAACACCGAUAGCGAAGGCAGCUUACUAGGCUGUAACUGACGCUGAGGCGCGAAAGCUAGGGGAGCAAACGGG
rnacentral:rRNA from 1 species